rnacentral:rRNA from 1 species
AUUGAACGCUGGCGGCAGGCCUAACACAUGCAAGUCGAGCGGAUAAAGGGAGCUUGCUCCUGGAUUCAGCUGCGGACGGGUGAGUAAUUCCUAGGAAUCUACCUGGUAGUUGGGGAUAACGUCCGUACACGGGCGCUAAUACCGCAUACGUCCUGAUGUAGAAAGUGAGGGUUCUUCGGACCUCACGCUAUCAGAUGAGCCUAGGUCGGAUUAGCUAGUUGGUUUGGUAAGGGCCUACCAAGGCGACGAUCCGUAACUGGUCUGAGAGGAUGAUCAGUCACACUGGAACUGAGACACGGUCCAGACUCCUACGGGAGGCAGCAGUGGGGAAUAUUGGACAAUGGGCGAAAGCCUGACGGAGCAACGCCGCGUGUGUGAAGAAGGUCUUCGGAUUGUAAAGCUCUUUAAGUUGGGAGGAAGGGAAGUAAGUUAAUACAUUGAUGUUUUGACGUUACCAAAAGAAAAAGCAACGGCUAACUUCGUG